rnacentral:rRNA from 1 species
AUGAUGUUUAUCAGAGUUCCUUCAGUGCAAGUAAACGUACAAAGCAGAAUUUAUUUUAUCAUUUCAGGAAAAGUAAUUUUUGCAAUUCUAGGGACGCAUGUAUUUGCAAUGAAAGAAUAUUACAGUUUGCAGUUAUCCUUCAGUAUAAGUAAUCCGCCCAGCAAAUCUAGACCAUGUUGUGUCUUCUCACAAAUCCCCAAAAGGGCCAGAGACUCAAACAUUCUAAUACACAAAAAAGAGCAAACUGGGAGACACCAGAGAUGUAACAUGUCUCUCGGCGUGCAAUCCCUGGUUACAGAAACCCAAACUGUACACUUUUUGCCAACAGUAGCACUAUGUACUCGCUCAUUUUCUGAUUGGAACCUUCUGAUCCAAGAAUAG